AAGACUAUACUUCACAGGAUCAUUUCUGUAGUCAGUCUUCGCUUACUUUCACACAAACUGAAAGCAUACCAUACCCACGUUGAUGAGAAGAAUCGUUUUAUUCGGCAGCGUGAGGAUUUGUGUAAUGGCCUUUGCGUUGCGACUUGUUGCACGUAUGGUGGACAUUGCGCUUCGAUGAUCGCUCGGUAACACGAAUAGAACGAAUUCUGAGUGGU